rnacentral:lncRNA from 13 species
CUCCACGGCCCCGCCCCCGCCCCGGCGGUGGCCACGCCCCUCAGCCAAUCCUGACGCCCCGCGCUCCCCACCGAGCCAAUAGUGGCGCUGUCCGCGCGCGGCCACCUGACCCCGGGCGCCGUUGUUAUUAGGCGCGGCGAGGCGGGCGGCGCGCGGCAGCAGGGUUGGGCUCUGGCCGGGAGUCGAAGAAGGGAGCGCGGGCGGGGAGCGCGGGCGCGCGCCCGCGUCCGCGCCCGGAGGGUCCGCCGUGGCCGCUCGCUUUCUCGCCUCCCGCCUGGAGCCUCGAUCCUGUUCCGCCCCCUAGGCCCUCUCGCCCGCCCCCCUCGUCGGCCCUCAGGUAGGAGGCGGCACGCGCCGGGGUCGGGAGUGGAACCGCUGAGGGCUGCGAUGAGCCCGCCCGCGUGUGGGCGCGCCGGGUGGGAGAGGAGCGCCCCCCAGCGGGCGCGGGCGCGAGGGCAGCCGGCGCGCGGGGCGAGCCAGCGCAGGGUCGCGGCGGCCGGGUUGCUGGGCGCGUGCGCGCGCGGCGGGGCGGGGCCUGCGCGGCUCCGGGUAGGCGCACGUGGUGCCCAGGAGCCGCUGGCCUGGCAUUCGCCGCGGGGACUCGGUGCGGAGUCGGGGCGCCAAGCGUCUCCGCUCCCCGUGCCCCAGCUGGCGGCCGCGACGGCGGAGCUUGACCUCUCACUCUCUCCUGCCUCCCGCAGCGACUGCCCCGCCGGCCGCGGGGGUCAGAUCCAGCGGUCCUUCAUUCAUUUCUUCAUUUGUUCACUUAUUCAGGAGAGAUCAUUGAACCGGUACCCAGCUUGCAGGAGUGCCAGAGUUAGAGUCCCAAGGUGUUCUUCAUGA